GAAAUCCACUAGGGGCGCCUGUAUGGGCUGAGAUAAAGCAUUUGCUUUGGUCCCUUAGAACCUGAUCUGGGUCAUGCCAGCGUAGGAAAGUGGAAUUGUGUGCGC
rfam:Paenibacillus beijingensis strain DSM 24997, complete genome.